AACCUAGCACACCUGCGGUGUGUACCUGCGGAGGGAUCAUUACCGAGUUUACAACUCCCAACCCCCUGUGAACAUACCACUUGUUGCCUCGGCGGAUCAGCCCGCUCCCGGUAAAACGGGACGGCCCGCCAGAGGACCCCUAAACUCUGUUUCUAUAUGUAACUUCUGAGUAAAACCAUAAAUAAAUCAAAACUUUUAACAAUGGAUCU
rnacentral:misc_RNA from 1 species